CUCAUCUAAAGAAUGGAAACCUUUGAUUGCUCAACUUGGGUGUGAGGAGUUCAGUCUUGGGUCAUUGCUUGGCAUACGGUAUUGGAAAGAGUUCAACCAACAAGGUUCGAUAUGCUGCCUGGCCUGCUGAGUUCUUCCAGCAUCUGGAUUGGGCAUGGAACUAGCAAUCCUAUCCUUUAAAAACCUAGAACUACAGAAACGCCAACAGAAGCCCCAAAGACCCCAUCCUUAAGAAGACUUAAGAAUACAUGUGGUGAAAGUGGAGGCCACAAGGCCAAUCAACCUUCCUUCAGCCCAGGACUGAGACUCUGGCAAGCUGCUGUUGGUGUCCUGUGUCCCAGUAAGGAUGAUGGGGUCAGGAAGAAGAGAUGCUGAACAUUGAAAUGUGAUGUGGCUGAGAAUAAACGCGUUGUAAACUCCAGUUGUUUGGUCGAGCGCAGAGCCAGCAGCCAGCACCUACCGUGGUCAUGUGAGAAGACGAGUAAGGAAAGCUCCAAGAAUAACUCAACUAAGUUCUCGUAGCGGCCGCUGUGUUCACCCGCAUCAUGUAUUAUCAUCAUUAGUGCCCUGGAGGAUUUAGCAGCAAAAUGAAUUAAACAGCAGGACAGAUGGGGUCUUCAUAGUAUAGCACAGAGUAAUACAACACAGACACAGGUCCUUCAUCCAUGUUGACCAUUGUGCCCAUCAAGUUAGUCCUAGUUACCUGCCUUUGGUCCAUAUCCAUCUAAGCUUAUAAUAGUUACUUAGCCAAAUGUCUGGCUAAGACAAAAACUAAAAAUAUUGUUAUUGUAUCUACCUCAAAUACUUCCUCUGGCAGCUCAUUCCAUAAACCCAUCACCCUCUGUUUGAAGAAGUUGCCCCUCAGUUCCUUUUUAAAUCUUUUCCCCUCACCUUAAACCUAUGCCCUCAAGUUUUUAGUUCCCCUUCCCUGGGAAAAAGACUGUGUAUGUUCACCCUGAGAGUAGACAGUCGAAGUUUCCAUCCGAGACCCUUCACGAGUCCUGAUGAAGGGUCUCAGCCUGAAACGUCGAUUGUUUGCUCUUUUCCACAGAAGCUGAGCUCCUCCUGCAUUUUGUGUGUGUGGCUUGGAUUUCCAGUAUCUGCAGAUUUUCUUGUGUUAAUGACUAAAAGAGUUGGAGUUGAAAGGGAAGUGUUUGCACACCAUCUCACUGAACAUCCAUCCCAGCAAAGGAGGAUGGGAGGCGACUUGAUAGAAGUGUACAAGAUGAUGAAAAGUAUUGAUAGAGUGGAUAGCCAGAGACUUUUUUCCAGGGCGGAAAUGGUUGACACCAGGGGCAUAACUCUAGAUGAUUAGAGGAAUGUACAGGGGUGAUGAUUGAGGUAAGAGCUUUACACAGUGGUGGGUGUGUGGAACGCACUGCCAGGGGUGAUGGUAGAGGCAGGUACAUUAGGGUAAUUUAAGAAACUCUUUGGUGCGUGGAUGAUAGAAAAAUGUAGGAGGGAAAGGUUAGAUUGGGCUUGGAGUAGUUAAAAGGUUGGCACAACAUCCUGGGCUGUAAUGUGCAAACACAAGAGAUUCUGCUGUGAAUCCACAGCAACAUACACAAAAAAUACCUGAGGAAAUCAGCUGGUCCAGCAGCGUCUAUAGAGAGGAGGGCCAAGACCCUUCAUCAGGAAGGGUUUAUUAAAGACAUCAGGGCUUGUGUAUCCCUCUCCACAGAUGCUGCCUGACCUGCUGAGUUCCUCCAUCAUUUCGUGUCUGUUGGUCUUGGCUGUAGUGUUCCAUGAUGUCCCCUCUGCCCUUCGAUCAUCCCCGCUCCCACCUCCCGUUUUCCAAUCAAACUGACCACCGUCGGUGACUCCCCCAGAUCGGAAACUCCUGCUGUCGAGCUAACCUGAUUGGUGUCCUUGGCAUCCAGUAUCUACAGAACAGGUAACUCCCAUCUGCGUUGACGAAAUGUGGGAGUUCCCGGUAAAACAAACCUUGAGGGGUCUUUUUUUCAUUGGCUUCAAUCGCCCUUUUGGGACAGUAAC